rnacentral:rRNA from 1 species
ACAGUCACACAUUAGAUACCCGGGUAGUCCCAGCUGUAAACGAUGCGCGUUAGGUGUGUCAGUGACCACGUGUCACUGAGGUGCCGAAGGGAAACCGUGAAACGCGCCGCCUGGGGAGUACGGUCGCAAGGCCGAAACUUAAAGGAAUUGGCGGGGAGCACCACAACGGGUGGAGCCUGCGGUUUAAUCGGACUCAACGCCGGAAAUCUCACCGGAUAAGACAGCUGAAUGAUAGUCGGGAUGAAGACUCUACUUGACUAGCUG